rnacentral:rRNA from 1 species
UAAGGAAUAUUGGACAUUGGUCGCAAGACUGAUCCAGCCAUGCCGCGUGCAGGAAGACGGCCCUAUGGGUUGUAAACUGCUUUUGUACCAGAGAAAACCUAUCUACGUGUAGAUAGCUGAUAGUAUGGUAAGAAUAAGCAUCGGCUAACUUCGUGCCAGCAGCCGCGGUAAGACGAAGGAUGCAAGCGUUAUCCGGAUUCAUUGGGUUUAAAGGGUGCGUAGGCGGGCUUGUAAGUCAGUGGUGAAAUCUCUCAGCUUAACUGAGAAACUGCCAUUGAUACUGCAGGCCUAGAGUAUAGAUGACGUUGGCGGAAUAUGACAUGUAGUGGUGAAAUACUUAGAUAUGUCAUAGAACACCGAUUGCGAAGGCAGCUAACGAAACUAUAACUGACGCUGAGGCACGAAAGUGCGGGGAUCAAACA